GACGAACGCUGGCGGCGUGCCUAAUACAUGCAAGUCGAACGAGAGCACCCGGUGCUUGCACUGGUCAAUCUAGUGGCGAACGGGUGAGUAACACGUGGGUAACCUGCCCAUCAGAGGGGGAUAACAUCCGGAAACGGAUGCUAAAACCGCAUAGGUCUUCGAACCGCAUGGUUUGAAGAGGAAAAGAGGCGCAAGCUUCUGCUGAUGGAUGGACCCGCGGUGCAUUAGCUAGUUGGUGAGGUAACGGCUCACCAAGGCCGUGAUGCAUAGCCGACCUGAGAGGGUGAUCGGCAACAUUGGGACUGAGACACGGCCCAAACUCCUACGGGAGGCAGCAGUAGGGAAUCUUCCGCAAUGGACGCAAGUCUGACGGAGCAACGCCGCGUGAGUGAAGAAGGUUUUCGGAUCGUAAAACUCUGUUGUUAGAGAAGAACAAGUGCUAGAGUAACUGUUAGCGCCUUGACGGUAUCUAACCAGAAAGCCACGGCUAACUACGUG
rnacentral:rRNA from 1 species